GAUGAACGCUGGCGGCGUGCUUAACACAUGCAAGUCGAACGGAAAGGCUCCUGCUUGCAGGGGUACUCGAGUGGCGAACGGGUGAGUAACACGUGGGUGAUCUGACCUGCACUUCGGGAUAAGCCUUGGAGACUGGGUCUAAUACCGGAUAGGACGAUGGAUUGGAUGCCCUUGUGGAAAGUUUUUCGGUGUGGUAUGAGCUCGCGGCCUAUCAGCUUGUUGGUGGGGUAAUGGCCUACCAAGGCGUCGACAGGUAGCCGGCCUGAGAGGAUGUACGGCCACAUUGGGACUGAGAUACGGCCCAGACUCCUACGGGAGGCAGCAGUGGGGAAUAUUGCACAAUGGGCGCAAGCCUGAUGCAGCGACGCCGCGUGGGGGAUGACGGCCUUCGGGUUGUAAACUCCUUUCGCUAGGGACGAAGCGCAAGUGACGGUACCUGGAGAAGAAGCACCGGCUAACUACGUG
rnacentral:rRNA from 1 species